CCUACGGGUGGCUGCAGUAGGGAAUCUUCGGCAAUGGACGAAAGUCUGACCGAGCAACGCCGCGUGAGUGAAGAAGGUUUUCGGAUCGUAAAACUCUGUUGUUAGAGAAGAACAAGGACGUUAGUAACUGAACGUCCCCUGACGGUAUCUAACCAGAAAGCCACGGCUAACUACGUGCCAGCAGCCGCGGUAAUACGUAGGUGGCAAGCGUUGUCCGGAUUUAUUGGGCGUAAAGCGAGCGCAGGCGGUUUCUUAAGUCUGAUGUGAAAGCCCCC
rnacentral:rRNA from 1 species